rnacentral:rRNA from 1 species
ACCAUGCAGUCGAACGGCAGCAUGAGAGAGCUUGCUCUCUUGAUGGCGAGUGGCGGACGGGUGAGGAACACAUCGGAAUCUGCCCAGUCGUGGGGGAUAACGUAGGGAAACUUACGCUAAUACCGCAUACGACCUACGGGUGAAAGCAGGGGAUCUUCGGACCUUGCGCGAUUGGAUGAGCCGAUGUCGGAUUAGCUAGUUGGCGGGGUAAAGGCCCACCAAGGCGACGAUCCGUAGCUGGUCUGAGAGGAUGAUCAGCCACACUGGAACUGAGACACGGUCCAGACUCCUACGGGAGGCAGCAGUGGGGAAUAUUGGACAAUGGGCGCAAGCCUGAUCCAGCCAUGCCGCGUGGGUGAAGAAGGCCUUCGGGUUGUAAAGCCCUUUUGUUGGGAAAGAAAAGCGAUCGGUUAAUACCCGGUUGUUCUGACGGUACCCAAAGAAUAAGCACCGGCUAACUUC